AGCAGCCGCGGUAAUUCCAGCUCCAAUAGCGUAUAUUAAAGUUGUUGCAGUUAAAAAGCUCGUAGUUGAAUUUCGGGAUCAAUAUAUUGGUCAUGCUUAGGUAUGUACUGGUAUUAUUGAUUUCUCCCUUCUGAAGAACCAUAAUGUCAUUAAUUUGAUGUCAUGGGGAAUCAGGACUGUUACUUUGAAAAAAUUAGAGUGUUUAAAGCAGGCUUUCGCUUGAAUACAUUAGCAUGGAAUAAUGAAAUAGGACGUUUGAUUCUAUUUUGUUGGUUUCUAGGAUCGACGUAAUGAUUAAUAGGGAUAGUUGGGGGCAUUAGUAUUCAAUUGUCAGAGGUGAAAUUCUUGGAUUUAUUGAAGACUAACUACUGCGAAAGCAUUUGCCAAGGAUGUUUUCAUUAAUCAAGAACGAAAGUUAGGGGAUCGAAGACGAUCAGAUACCGUCGUAGUCUUAACCAUAAACUAUGC
rnacentral:rRNA from 1 species